rnacentral:rRNA from 1 species
CCUACGGGUGGCAGCAGUAGGGAAUUUUGCGCAAUGGGCGAAAGCCUGACGCAGCGACGCCGCGUGAUCGAGACGCCCUUCGGGGUGUAAAGAUCUGUCAGUGGGGACGAAACUUGACGGUACCCACAGAGGAAGCACCUGCUAAAUCCGUGCCAGCAGCCGCUGUAAUACGGGGGGUGCAAGCGUUGUCCGGUAUCAUUGGGCGGAAAGUGUUCGUAGGCGGCACGUAAAGUCUGGUUUUAAAGGCAGGGGCUCAACUUCUGUACGGCACUGGAUACUUGCGAGCUAGAAUGCGGUAGAGGUAAAGGGAAUUCCUGGGGUAGCGGUGAAAUGCGUAGAUAUCAGGAGGAACAUCGGAGGCGUAAGCGCUUUACUGGGCCGUAAUUGACGCUGAGGAACGAAAGCCAGGGUAGCAAAUGGGAUUAGAUACCCCGGUAGUC